UACGUAGGGGGCAAGCGUUGUCCGGAUUUAUUGGGCGUAAAGAGCGUGUAGGCGGCCAAACAGGUCCACUGUGAAAACUCGAGGCUCAACCUCGAGAGGUCGGUGGAAACCGUCUGGCUAGAGUCCGGAAGAGGAGAGUGGAAUUCCCGGUGUAGCGGUGAAAUGCGCAGAUAUCGGGAAGAACACCCGUGGCGAAGGCGGCUCUCUGGACCGUAACUGACGCAUGAGGCGGCGAAA
rnacentral:rRNA from 1 species